GAACCACCCAGGAAUGGCCAAAUGUUCCUGUGUGUCUAUGUCUGUUUGUGGUGUCCAGAGCUGCCUGAUCUCCAUCAGACUGGGGGUUCCUGGUACCUCUUCUGUCAGCUAAGGGAUUCCAGAGAACAGAGCUGUGUUUUCCCCUUCAGACUGAGCUUCCUAGGAAAAUUGAUGGUGCUAGCUCCUUCCUAGGGCUGCAGGUUAGGGGUGCAGCCCAGGCCAUACAUAGAUUCAUCUAACCCUGCUCUUGGGACUACUAGGACCCUCUGACCCGAAGGCAGAUCUGCUGCUACUCAGAACUUGUGGCCAAGGAAGAGGCUCAUCUUUGUGUACAUCACACCACAGGCUGGCAUGUGUUUGUGCUACAGUUUACCAAAGCUGAAAGGAAACAUAGACCCAGCAUUUGGGAUUCAAGAUGGAAAGCAGAAGGUGGAGAAACAUCAGAAAACAACAACAACAACAGAAGAGAAACCCAAAAGAGUGAAAAAUAAGGAAAAAAAAAAAAAGAGAGCUCCCGCAAGAGGUUCUUCACCCUCCCCCCCACCAUGCGAAUUUGCACACCACGGGACCACAGCAGGUUUACAGAACGCAAUAUACAAUCCACGAUUUAUAAUAAAACAGUAUAUACAAUAAAUAGGAUAUUGUUCAUUUUUGUCAAACGACCUGUAGAUAAAUUUCUCAGUGCAUACUUGCAGGGACUCUGGACACCUGGAGGCCCCGCCGCAACCUCUUGCACACGCCCGCUCUCUCGCUUCUUUUUUUUUUUUGUCUUUUUCUAAAACUGUGUUUUGUUUUUAAGUUUUGUACAUUUUUAAAAAGUAUUUACAAUUGCUGGUUUUGUGCAGAAAGGGCUCACCUUCGGCUUCUGCGUGGAGAUGGGGGGUAAGGGGGAGAUGGGGCUGCAGGGGGUGUGGGAGGCAGAGGGGCAGGUGCUCCUGCCAGAGGACAGGAGGGGUCUUGGCGUUGGUUUUCUGAAAGCUGCAAAGAAACACAAGAGAAGUGGCAGAAGUUAGCAGCAGGCACAGACAUUGAAGACUAAACCAAGGAGGCGAAGAGUGGGCCCCAUUCAGUUCCUAAUGGGAUUCUGGGAGAAGCUAACUAUAUUACUGCUUCUCCCAUAAACUCCAAACUGACCAUGUGACUUUGGGACUGGUUCCAGCCCUCUAGAAGCUCAGUUUCCCCAACUGUAAAACAGGAAUGCCCAAGCCCCACAUUAAGAGGUGAAGGACAUGCUGGGUAAGAAGUUGAGGUCCUGAGCAGUUGAAUUUGUUAGCUUGGGCUCUGGAGUUAGACACAACUAAGUUCAGGUUUCAAUUUCUUCUAAAUCUAACCCUCUUCCUAGUCCCACCAAGGCCAUUCUGUUUCUUAAAGAGGUGAAGUGAUGAGGAAGUCUCUCUGAAGGAAGAAAUAAACUGCCCAACACAAUGCCAUCUGUUUGGCAGAACGCUGCUUUCCUGAAGCUCAGAAUCUCCCAAGUCCUCAGAAUCACCAGAUGCUCGAGGUUGGGCAUAGCUCCCUUUCCUAGACAAUCCUAAAGUCUGUAGGUCCUAACUUCCCUAUGUAGACAUUCUGGACUCUCAGCUCUGCUUGGAUGAGUGACAAGGUGCCCAGGACAGGGCUCUGUCAUUCUCCAGGCCUCGGGCCAUUAGCCUGCCCACUUCUCAGAGCCUUGAGCCUCGUAUCUCCCACCCACAGUGUAUGACUAUUUCCUCCAGAAUUGAGGGCAGGGGUGGGGGCGCUAAAACUGCUUCCUAAGCCUCCUUCGUGAGCCAGCCCUCCUCCCCCACACCCGCAGGAGCCAGGCGGCGACAGAAAGCCUCUCCUCCCUUGUACUUUCUUGGCGUCCCUUUCCAACAGGGCCACAUUGACAUUCUGCUCAGCCUCAGCUGCUGUCUGCUGGGCAGUCAGCCCCAGGGACAACUUUUGUCCUGAGGUUGGACUUGCCAGGAUGCCCCCAAGGGCCAGGGGACCAGGUGGGCUCCUGCAGAGCAGGGGCAGCAGGCAUUCUGGUGAUAAGACCAGGCUUUGAGCAGAGUCCUGAGGGAGGGCAAGGGCUGUGUGUGGCGGGUCUUCGGGACGGGAGGGGAAAGCCAUGUGCUAGGGUGGCAGCUAUACCACAAUCGGGGUGGUAGGCAGAAAAGCAGCUCUUGGGGGUAGGAGGUGCUAUGGGGAUGCAUGUCAGCUCUCCAUAUUUAGAGUGACAAGUGGGACCAGCUGCAGAGAUUAGGGGGCAGGACUGUGGUAAAUGGGGUGCCAGGUUCAACUGAGGGCUGGGGGCCUCUAUCCAGAGGCUGGCCUUAUUGCAGCUGAAGGACUGUUGCCAAGCUGGAGAACCUAUGUUGGGUGACAAGUGAGGGGAGACUUAGGGUGGCCUGCUCCAAACUACUUAGUACGCUGACAGUGAAUCCCGGCACUGCUGGCUCCCCGAAAGGGCCUGGGGCAAGCUGGGAGCCUCUGCACAAAUCCCUGCCGCCCCUGCCCCCACCAGCCCUUAGUCACUGCCAGUGACCCUCUCCAAGCCAGGUCUCCAUGGUGAUCUCAGCCCAGCAGGCGGCUUCUGCCAGAACCUUCCCGCGGUGCCCGAGGCCAGGCAGCAGGAAGCUUUCUCACCCUCUGCUAAGCCGCCCAAUGCGUCUCACCUUCCUCCUCCCACCGCCCUCCCAGCUUGCAGGACUUGGCCAGCAGAGAAUUCUGGCAGGAUCUGGGGGGGAUGGGGAGGGACUCAAAGCCUGGGGUUUUUGGUGGAAAGAGAGGGGAGAAAGCUGUGGCUGUGUAGGACCCAGAGCUUACUAGGCUCAAUCCUCCACAAAACAGAACCAAAUGCCAAGGUGCUAAGCAGCACAGGGCCAGCAGGUACUGGGGAUAAGGCAAAGAACAAGACAGCUCUGCUUUUGCAUUUGCGAGGCUCAUGGAACCGAGGCAGAGCAAAUGGACCCCAAACCAAGCAAUCUCUAGGCAGGCAAAUGGGGGAGGUGCAAAGGGAAACCCUAGGGGGCUCAGGGAGAAAGGGGUGGUGGUGGGGGUUUGCACCUAACCUCUUCUUGGCAGGAGGGACUGUGGCUCUUAACUCACUGCUGGUUACAGUGCCCAGCACAUGCUGGGGUCACGAAUGUGUGUGGACUGAGUGACAGUUACGACAGAUCUAGGGGUGGUCAGCAUGUCAAGGUCCAGCUCAGCUUUUGCACACCUCCAGGAUGGCUCCUUAGGCCACCCUGUUACCAUAGCUACCAGUGUACUUGUCAUUUCCUACCCUGCUCCUCCAGGGCAGAGACUUGUGUGUGGUACCUCUGUAUCCUCAAUGCCAACAUGCCCCUGGGCCCAGGACACCAAUCACUGUUCCUAAGCCUUAACCUUUUAGUGCCUCAGUAAGAAACCUUAGAGUGACAUUCUGCUGAGUUCUUAUGCUCCAGCAGUUUU
ensembl:lncRNA